rnacentral:rRNA from 1 species
GGGGGCAAGCGUUGUUCGGAAUUACUGGGCGGAAAGGGCUCGUAGGCGGCCAACUAAGUCAGACGUGAAAUCCCUCGGCUUAACCGGGGAACUGCGUCUGAUACUGGAUGGCUUGAGUUUGGGAGAGGGAUGCGGAAUUCCAGGUGUAGCGGUGAAAUGCGUAGAUAUCUGGAGGAACACCGGUGGCGAAGGCGGCAUCCUGGACCAACACUGACGCUGAGUGAGCGAAAGCCAGGGGAGCAAACGGG